rnacentral:rRNA from 1 species
GACGAACGCUGGCGGCGUGCUUAACACAUGCAAGUCGAACGAAGAGCGACGGAAGCUUGCUUCUAUCAAUCUUAGUGGCGAACGGGUGAGUAACGCGUAAUCAACCUGCCCUUCAGAGGGGGACAACAGUUGGAAACGACUGCUAAUACCGCAUACGAUCUAACCUCGGCAUCGAGGAUAGAUGAAAGGUGGCCUCUACAUGUAAGCUAUCACUGAAGGAGGGGAUUGCGUCUGAUUAGCUAGUUGGAGGGGUAACGGCCCACCAAGGCGAUGAUCAGUAGCCGGUCUUAGAGGAUGAACGGCCACAUUGGGACUGAGACACGGCCCAGACUCCUACGGGAGGCAGCAGUGGGGAAUCUUCCGCAAUGGACGAAAGUCUGACGGAGCAACGCCGCGUGAGUGAUGACGGCCUUCGGGUUGUAAAGCUCUGUUAAUCGGGACGAAAGGCCUUCUUGCGAAUAGUGAGAAGGAUUGACGGUACCGGAAUAGAAAGCCACGGCUAACUACGUG